UGCAAGUCGAGCGGUAACAGAGAGAAGCUUGCUUCUUUGCUGACGAGCGGCGGACGGGUGAGUAAUACUUGGGAACUUGCCUUUAGGAGGGGGACAACCACGGGAAACUGUGGCUAAUACCGCAUAAUGUCUACGGACCAAAGUAGGGGAUCUUCGGACCUUACACCUAAAGAUGGGCCCAAGCGAGAUUAGCUAGUUGGUGGGGUAAAGGCUCACCAAGGCGACGAUCUCUAGCUGUUCUGAGAGGAUGAUCAACCACACUGGGACUGAGACACGGCCCAAACUCCUACGGGAGGCAGCAGUGGGGAAUAUUGCACAAUGGGGGAAACCCUGAUGCAGCCAUGCCGCGUGUGUGAAGAAGGCCUUCGGGUUGUAAAGCACUUUCAGUGGUGAGGAAGGCCGUAAGAUUAAUACUCUUGCGGAUUGACGUUAACCACGGAAGAAGCACCGGCUAACUCCGUGCCAGCAGCCGCGGUAAUACGGAGGGUGCAAGCGUUAAUCGGAAUUACUGGGCGUAAAGCGUACGUAGGCGGCUUGUUAAGCAAGAUGUGAAAGCCCCGGGCUCAACCUGGGAAUGGCAUUUUGAACUGGCAGGCUCGAGUUCUGAANAGGGUGGUAGAAUUUCCUGUGUAGCGGUGAAAUGCGUAGAUAUAGGAAGGAAUACCGGUGGCGAA
rnacentral:rRNA from 1 species